AUUGAACGCUGGCGGCAUGCUUUACACAUGCAAGUCGGACGGCAGCACAGAGAAGCUUGCUUCUUGGGUGGCGAGUGGCGAACGGGUGAGUAACAUAUCGGAACGUACCGAGCAGUGGGGGAUAACUAAUCGAAAGAUUAGCUAAUACCGCAUAUUUUCUGAGGAAGAAAGCAGGGGACCUUUGGGCCUUGCGCUGUUUGAGCGGCCGAUAUCUGAUUAGCUAGUUGGUGGGGUAAAGGCCUACCAAGGCGACGAUCAGUAGCGGGUCUGAGAGGAUGAUCCGCCACACUGGGACUGAGACACGGCCCAGACUCCUACGGGAGGCAGCAGUGGGGAAUUUUGGACAAUGGGCGCAAGCCUGAUCCAGCCAUGCCGCGUGUCUGAAGAAGGCCUUCGGGUUGUAAAGGACUUUUGUCAGGGAAGAAAAGGGCGGGGUUAAUACCCCUGUCUGAUGACGGUACCUGAAGAAUAAGCACCGGCUAACUACGU
rnacentral:rRNA from 1 species